GAGCUAUAGGUUAAAAGGGAGUGAAAUCCUUGAGUUGUUGAGCUCAUAAAAACCCUCUCCAGUGAGACCACUUACUGUCGCCCCAUUCAGUUUUCUUUCUCAAGCUGUAAGUUGAAGGUGCAGAAGAGUAAGGAGGGAACAGGGCGAGGGGUGAUGUGGAAAAUGGGAAUCCAGAACAGUUUCACCUUAGAGGCCACGUACUGUGGUUCAACCCUAGGUAAGAGGAUUGUCAGUGUUACACCUAAAUUUGAUUCCUUAACGUGAUUAAACAAGCCCCACCCACUUAUCCAUCAUUUUUAAUGUGUAUGUUUCUUUUCUAAUGAUCAAUGUAAUUCCCUCUUUAAAGGUGGGCGGUGUGGAACCCAUUUCAGCACCAAAGAUCUGGAGUCCGUGGGAUAUCAUUUGUGUGAUACUCUGUUGGAUUUCUGCGACCCCCAUCAAACCAAGAACAUCAUCUUCCUAAAAGAACUGGAGGAAAUCCUGAUACUACAAGUAAAAGCCAGGAGUGGCCAACUAGACCCCGAAUCCCUGCUGGACAUUAUUCUCUCGGAUCUGGAUUCUAGUUCUCUGCAUGUUCUGACAGCUCUGACUCUAACGCACCCCCUGCUCACCUCUUGGAAAUGGCUUUAAAGGUAAACUUCAGCAA